rnacentral:rRNA from 1 species
AGUGGGGAAUAUUGGACAAUGGGCGCAAGCCUGAUCCAGCCAUGCCGCGUGGGUGAAGAAGGCCUUCGGGUUGUAAAGCCCUUUUGUCCGGAAAGAAAAGCUCCUGAUUAAUACUCGGGAGUCAUGACGGUACCGGAAGAAUAAGCACCGGCUAACUUCGUGCCAGCAGCCGCGGUAAUACGAAGGGUGCAAGCGUUACUCGGAAUUACUGGGCGUAAAGCGUGCGUAGGUGGUUCGUUAAGUCUGAUGUGAAAGCCCUGGGCUCAACCUGGGAAUUGCAUUGGAUACUGGCGAGCUAGAGUGCGGUAGAGGAUGGCGGAAUUCCCGGUGUAGCAGUGAAAUGCGUAGAGAUCGGGAGGAACAUCUGUGGCGAAGGCGGCCAUCUGGACCAGCACUGACACUGAGGCACGAAAGCGUGGGGAGCAAA